rnacentral:tRNA from 2 species
GGACCCUUAGCUCAGUCGGUAGAGCAGACGGCUCAUAACCGUCCGGUCGCAGGUUCGAGCCCUGCAGGGUCCA